UCAAAACCGACUGUGGGCGUUGGGAAAGCAGUCUUUUCUUAGGAAUCAUGCUGACCUCAAAUUCUUGAUAACCGGAAAAUCCGACGUGGCCAAAAGGGCACCUCUUCCCCUAGCGAGAUUCAGCAGCCUAGAUGCUUACAAACACAAAUCCCAACUUCUAACAACAAACAAUACACUAGCUUGUUCUCUGUUUUUUCUGCUUCUAUGGCUUCCUCCUUUCUGUUCCCGACUAUGUCCUCUCCAAAACCCAGUUCCUCUUUCCUCUCACCGUGCAUAUCUCAACCUCCUUCCACCUGCCUACUGUUCAAAGGCCAUUCUUUCAUCAUCAGGAGUCCUGCUCAAAAAAACCCAACAAGGCUAAAAGCCAUUUUUGGAGAUCUCUCGCAUAAUUUAGCCACUGCUUUUAGCUCUUCAGGAUUGGAAGAAUAUGGGUUUGUGCUUCCAUUGGUUAAAUACGGUCUAUCUCUUGUUCAGAGCAUUGAGGAUUUGCCAGAGAGGCAGAGGAUUUGGGUCCUGUCUUUUAUCGGUUUCAGUUGGAUUUACUUGAAUGCAAGACCUGGAGUGUUGAUCGGUGCAAUCGAUGCUUAUCUUUUGGCUCCCUUGCAACUAGGUCUUGAUAGUGUCUUAGGGAGGAGGAACCUGAAGAGGACGGAUUUUGUGCUAGGGGACAGGUUGGGCGAAGGAACGUUUGGGGUGGUUUAUUAUGGGGCAAUGGUGCCCAAGAAUUCUGGGUUGCAGGAGGAGGAAGCGGUGAGGAGGACGGGGAGGAGGGUCAGAAGCCCACAAAUGGAUGAAAGGUUUAAGAAUUCUCAGAAGGUCAUUCUUAAGAAGGUCAAGGUUGAAAUUGAAGGAGCCAAAGAAUGUGGUGACUUUGAGGAGUGGUUCAACUAUAGACUCUCAAGAGCUGCUCCAGAGACUUGUGCUGAAUUCCUCGGGAGUUUCGUGGCUGAUAAAACAGUUUCACAAUUUACCAAAGGUGGCAAAUGGCUUGUUUGGAAAUUUGAGGGGGAUCUGACUCUGGCUGACUACAUGAGAGACCGCAAUUUCCCAAUGAACUUGGAAUCCAUAAUGUUUGGACGUGUUUUAAAGGGAAUGGAUACUACCCAAAGGAAUGCAUUGAUCAUCAAACAGAUAAUGCGUCAAAUUAUCACUUCUCUCAGGAAGAUUCAUGAUACAGGCAUUGUUCAUCGAGAUGUAAAGCCAGCAAACUUGGUGGUCACCAGAAAAGGGCAGAUAAAGCUUAUUGAUUUUGGGGCUGCAACUGAUUUACGAAUUGGCAAGAACUAUGUACCAGAUCGGGGACUGCUUGAUCCAGACUAUUGUCCCCCAGAGCUGUUUGUGCUUCCAGAAGAGACACCAAGUCCUCCCCCGGCACCCAUUGCAGCUCUUUUUUCUCCAAUUCUGUGGCAGCUAAACAGUCCCGAUCUGUUUGAUAUGUAUUCUGCUGGAGUGAUACUUCUGCAGAUGGCUAUUCCUACGCUGAGGUCAUCAGCAGGUAUAAAAAAUUUUAAAUCCGAAAUAAAAAAUGCUGGAUAUGAUUUGAAGAAAUGGAGGGGAAACACUCGACUGAGGCCGGACUUGAGUAUACUUGAACUUGAAUCCGGGAGAGGUUGGGACUUGGUCACAAAACUCAUUUCAGAAAGAGGGUCCUUUAGACGGGGCCGUUUAUCUGCUGCUGCCGCUCUCCGACAUCCUUAUUUUCUGCUUGGUGGUGACCGAGCAGCUGCUGCCUUUUCAAAGCUAAGCAUUGCUAGCCAGUGAAUUUUCUAAAUGCACCAAUCACAUCUGAGUUUCAUCCUUGAUUCAAGCUGCUCAAAUUGGUCUGCAAAACUCAUACAAUGUGGCACCAUUUUGUUAUAGAAAUGGUUGAAGUUAUUAUCAACUAAGAAGCACAAGCACCCUGCAUCUCAUUUCUUGGGGAUUAAGAAAAUGCGUGAAGAAGAAAAGCCAGAGCCAAAUGCAUGAGGAAAGAGUGUACCAGUAAAACUAAGAAACAGAGACAAGCCAACAAUUGAUUUAGAUUGGAAAAUUUUGUAGCUUGAGCAGCUUAGCCACUUGUAACAGAGUCACGGUUAGGCUUUGUCAAACAACACUCCACUUCAUGUUUCCGAGCAGAUGACAUUAGAAAUAUGAUUAUCUCUUAAAGUUGGCAGAUUCCAAAGCAGAUGUAUAUAUGAUAUGCAAAUGCAUGUUAAACAUGUAUCAUAGAAGUUGAAGUUAUUUUUU